AAUAAAAGACAGAGAAGCAAAAAUGCGCAAUUAUUUGUUGGCGACUCCUUGAGCAAAGCAUGUCUUGCGGCUGUCUAUUUUAAAUUUAUAAUCUAUUCCUUUCCUUUCUCCACCACCAAGUAAUCAACUCAACCACACUCGCCACCCCCGGCCGCUGGUACCACCACCACCACAGCUAUUGCUAAUCUCCGUACAGAAACGAAAUAAAAACGCAAAUUUGUCGAUCAAUCAGUUAAAAAGUUAAUUGAUUGAUUAAUUGCACAUGAUCCGUUGUUUUGGAAUUUGAUCAGAAGUAGAAAUAUCUUAAUUCUUGAUAUUGUAAUCAUGGAAAUGAGGCCAAAUCCUGCGGUUGAUAAUUCGCCGCCGCAGCAUCGACGCCAUUCAUCUGCCGCUCCAUCGAAGCAGCCCACUGCUCCUCCUAACCCGGUCGAUACCUCCUCUGUUACUCAAAGGUUGCAGAAAGAAUUAAUGUCUCUCAUGAUGAGUGGAGGAGAUCUCGGCGUGUCAGCAUUUCCUGAAGGGGAGAGCAUUUUCACGUGGAUUGGCACAAUUGAGGGUGGAAAAGGCACAGUGUACGAGGGAUUAUCAUAUAAGCUCUCUUUGCGUUUUCCUCUGGACUACCCCUUUAAACCACCACAAGUCAAAUUUGAGACAAGUUGCUUUCAUCCUAAUGUUGAUCAGUUUGGCAACAUAUGCCUAGACAUACUCCAGGAGAAGUGGUCGUCAGCUUACGAUUGCAGAACCAUUCUUUUGUCCAUUCAAAGUCUAUUGGGAGAGCCUAAUCCAGACAGUCCUCUUAACAGCUAUGCUGCAAAAUUAUGGAAUAAUAAGGAAGGUCAGAUGGACAUACAUUUAGUUACACUGGAAAGCCUUUUUUUGGCUCCCCCGGUUCUUGAUUAAUAGUACGCACAACCGUCUUUCUGUUUCAAACCAAAAUUGAACCGGAACCAAAUAAUGAUUACCAGAAGAUGGUUCACAAACAGUACUAUGAUGGAGUAGUAUCAGAGAGCUGAUCUGCAGAAUUGUGAAAUAUUUUACUGCCAAAGCUUGUAAAUGUUCAAGAGAAGUCUUGAGUGGGUUUGGAUCUUUCUAGUCCACACCCAAAUGAAAACUUGUUAUCUGAAACACACUAAUUCUUCAACAUCCCUCUGUUUCUCACUGAUGAAAUGAGUUUGUAUUUUUAUUUGCUGUAAUUGCAAAAUAAGCUCAUACAAAUGAUUGUAAAUUUUUCAAAAUCAUUUUGAAAGUGUUUUUCACCACUUGUGUAAUUGGAGAGAUCAUUUAAAUGGA